AGCGAACGCUGGCGGCGGGCCUAACACAUGCAAGUCGAACGAACCCUUCGGGGUUAGUGGCGGACGGGUGAGUAACACGUGGGAACGUGCCUUUAGGUUCGGAAUAACUCAGGGAAACUUGUGCUAAUACCGAAUGUGCCCUUCGGGGGAAAGAUUUAUCGCCUUUAGAGCGGCCCGCGUCUGAUUAGCUAGUUGGUGAGGUAAUGGCUCACCAAGGCUACGAUCAGUAGCUGGUCUGGGAGGAUUACCAGCCACAUUGGGACUGAGACACGGCCCAAACUCCUACGGGAGGCAGCAGUGGGGAAUCUUGCGCAAUGGGCGAAAGCCUGACGCAGCCAUGCCGCGUGGAUGAUGAAGGUCUUAGGAUUGUAAAAUCCUUUCACCGGUGAAGAUAAUGACUGUAGCCGGAGAAGAAGCCCCGGCUAACUUCGUGCCAGCCGCCGCGGUAAUAC
rnacentral:rRNA from 1 species